UGUAGAAAUACAUGUCCAUUAAAACAAGGAUUGAAAC
rfam:Epulopiscium sp. Nele67-Bin004 Nele67MMBin003_5, whole genome shotgun sequence.